AAAGUCGUAACAAGGUCUCCGUAGGUGAACCUGCGGAGGGAUCAUCAAAGAAUUUUAUACUUUUAUCAAGUUGUUUUUCUUCUUGGAGAGAGAGAAACACUUGGUAUACAAACAAACGAUCACAACUAUUAAGGAGAAAGACAAAAAAGUGUUUGCCUGAUAAAUGAUUGAUUUUUGGAAAUCUAACAAAAAUAUACAACUUUCAACAACGGAUCUCUUGGCUCUC
rnacentral:misc_RNA from 1 species